rnacentral:rRNA from 1 species
UAAGGAAUAUUGGUCAAUGGACGCAAGUCUGAACCAGCCAUGCCGCGUGAAGGAUGAAGGUCCUCUGGAUUGUAAACUUCUUUUAUCUGGGACGAAAACGGGAUUUUUAUCUCAAUUGACGGUACCAGAGGAAUAAGCACCGGCUAACUCCGUGCCAGCAGCCGCGGUAAUACGGAGGGUGCGAGCGUUAUCCGGAUUUACUGGGUUUAAAGGGUGCGUAGGUGGGCUUAUAAGUCAGUGGUGAAAUCUCCGAGCUUAACUUGGAAACUGCCGUUGAUACUAUUUGUCUUGAAUAUUGUGGAGGUAAGCGGAAUAUGUCAUGUAGCGGUGAAAUGCUUAGAUAUGACAUAGAACACCAAUUGCGAAGGCAGCUCGCUACACGGUUAUUGACGCUGAGGCACGAAAGCGUGGGGAUCAAACA